rnacentral:lncRNA from 1 species
GGUGUGAAGACAAGAUAAGAGAGUAAUAACAGCCCUCCAGUAACCAGGGCUAAUAGGGAGACAAACGUUUUCUCCAGUAAAUUCACAUUUUCUCUCCUGGCUGAUCAGAUAGCUAAACAAUAAAGGUCGCCAACAUGGCUGUGGCUCAAUGUGACUUUUUUCUUAUCUCUCUCCGCGUACAAUACAGGAGGCAAAACUUGAUUCGCUGUAGAUGGCAACGGACUCCAAGAACGGUAUUUAAAGCAGUUCUUUACCUGUCUAACUUUUAUCACACUUUAAAAGUAUUGAAUUAUUAUAAAACCAAUGAUGUAACCACCCCCUACAUUUAUCUGCCACCAACCUGUCAUCAAUUGUUUAUUCGUCAUAAUUUCACAAUGAGAUGAUCAAUCAAAAAUACGGAUUUGACUUUAGUGGGCUUCAAUACUGCUGUGUCUCUUUGUGAGGGUUUUGACCAGGAUUUUGGAGACACAUUCUGCAGAUGAGUUCAGCCACAUUUUUAAACUUGUUACCAUGGAGAAGGGAAUUAAAUACUCCAAACCUUCCCCACAUGCUCCACUCACUCUGUUAAGAUCUAUUGACAAACCUCAUGCAUGUUCCCAGCUGAUGCAGCAGGUCAGGUGGGUGUUGAACCUAUAUUUGUGUUGAGCCAUAAAAGAAGUGUACGAAAAUGCCCUGUGGAUGAAGCUGUGUGAAUUUAUAGCUGAAGUACACAAUGUCUAAAAUGCCUACCUUGCUUACAUUUACAAGUUAGCUCACUGUAACACUUUCACUUAUUUUUCAGAGAAAGUGUGAAAUCUUUGCAGGUUUCAUACAGAGGCGAUGGAAAGGUUGCAGGAGUAAGAGGGAAGUAGAAAAUCUUGUAAUGUAAAAGGAGCAUGUUGAUGUCAUUGUGGCCACAUAAGGGGGUUUCGAUGAUGCUCAUAAUUAAAGACUUGGAGAACAGUGGUUAUACAAUAAGCUGGCUCGCAGUUGAAGGUGUUGUGUUGCAUUUCUAUCAAUCUCUCUGCUCACCUCCCUCAGAGCACUGCUGCUCUCUGCUGUUUCUGGAGCCGGCUGUUAUGUAAAUGUGCAGUCACUUUGUUUUCUGUGAGAAAUCACUGAUUGAUGUUCAGAUUCCCUUGACUGACGGUCAGGAUGUGAUAAAGAUUGUUUCUGGUAUGCUGUAGAGAUGGAAAAACUGAAAACAUGUGGACACUUGGAUGAGAUGUGUGGGCUGAUGUGCCUAGGGGAUUGAGAAGAAAGAGCCAGAGGUCAAAGAUAAUCCAUCAGAUAGUGACUGAAUCAUAGUAUGUUUGAUACAUCGAUGGUACAUCUUUGAUUAAAACAAAAAAACAAACAAAAAAACAUUUUUUAAAAUUUUUCUCUGGCAUUCUAAAAACACGCAAAUAAGAUUGGAAUGUUUUUUUUCUGGAGACAUUUUGACUGAAUUAAGGGAAAAAAAAUCACAAAAUGUUCUUAAGCUGGUCGUUCUCUGCAAUGCAGCCACUUGUCUUGGCUGCAGUGAUGAAGCACUAUGAUGGCUGCUGCCUACAACAACACUUCAGCAAAGCUCAAACUCACAUUAGUCAAUGUGAACAAAAAAUGUCUGCUGCCAAAUGAUAAAAAACCCGCAAUUUAAUCAAGUAUUGACAGAGUGAAAGAGCACACAGAGAGGAUGUGGAGUGACUCUUGGACAAAUGUUUAAUUUCCUUUGAGAAAUGUCUUAAAAUGAAACUGUGGAGUGGCUCCACAAGGACAGAGUUGGUUCAGCAUUGAAAAAAAGUCAUCGGACAUUGAAAGAGUCCUAGACAAACCCCCUGAAACAAUAAGGACUCUUUCUGCCUGCAGAAACACAGCAGCUCUACAGCAUCACCAGCUUCUAACAAACCUCUGAAAAAAGAUGGAGGCUUCCUUCCUGAAAUACAUCUGCUACAGUUGCUCUCGGGCUCUGUAGCUGUACAGUGGGCGGUGAGAGCCCUUAUGUUCCCCGGGAGAAUAUUGCUUGAGUAACUCUGAGAAGUCACUAUCAUGCACUAUCAUAGGGGAUAUUUCAGUUUUCCUUAUAGUAUAUUGAGAGGUCCUCAAAACAAUGAUUUUAACCCAUGGGGAUCUAUUUUCGUGUCCGCCGGGGAUGUGGCGGAGGUUGGCGGACCCUGCGCAGUGGUAUUUUCAUCUGGCGGAGCCUAGCAUACAGCCAGUUUGGUAUUUUCAUAGACUGAGGUGCUGGGCGUGGUGGCAUGGCAGGGGGAGGUGUCGACGGAAUCAGCUGGCGCAGUGACAUUUUUGUGCUUGCCGGUGGCGUGUAAAGUGCGCUGAAAGCUCGCCGAUUCAAACCUGGUCAGCUUUCAGCGCAGGUGGAGCGCAGCUGGUCUAGCGGUAUUUUGGUGGACCUGCGGAGUAUCGACAUACGUCACCGAUGCCUCACUGGCAAGUUUCCACAGCGUCAGGCACAUUUCAGUGCAAUAAAUAAUCAACAACAACUAAUAAUCUGAGUCAGCACAUACAUUUAGAUCUAUAUUGAUAUUUUGAUCUAUAUCUGAUCUGAUGAGCGCGUUUGGCACGCGUUUGGACACACAACCUGACCGAAUCAACACAGCUGAAACCGCAUUAAAUAAAAUUAAAUAUCUAGUAAAUAAACACACAUGAUGAAGUUAACAAGAUAUUUAAUUUGUCUCCCUCCUUUUCUUUCUUCCUAUUUCUUCUUUUUCUCCUAUUUCUCGUGCAGCUCGACCUGGACGUGUCUCUGUGUCCUCUCCCUGUCCUGCGGCGGCUGGACAGAUGAUUUGUUUUAGUGAUCAGAUGAAUUAUUUACUUUAAGCCGAAUACAGUAUACAAGUAUUAUAAUAUUCAGUUUUGUGAGCCAAAUUUAAUUUUAUAUGCCAACAUCUAUGAAAGAAAGAGCCAGGCCACAGAGUGCGAUGUGUCAUUUACACACAGGCGGUUGCAAUUUCAAUGCCAUUAUUGUAAUUUAUGUUGUGAUCUGUGUGCACAACCCACCAAGGAUGUUUGUCUUACCAGUGGGUCCAACAUUACACACAUCAAAUCCAUAUGUGCUUAUUUGAGAGAGUUUAAAGGACGCCCUCUGCAGCGCUUACAGAGACACUUGUUGAGGGGCUGCCUUCUGUCGCCAUCGUGUGGCAUUACUGUCUUCAGACAUCUCUUGAUCUCUUUGACUACUUCACGAAAAUUGUAAUACGCCUCGCCAGUGGCGGAUUCAAAGGUGAGGAGAGGAGCUGAUGUUAUUGGUCAAUACAGGUCUCAGCUGUGUUAAACCCACUCUAUGCCCUCUCUCCUCCCGCGCUACGACUUAUGCCGCUGGGAGGAGCUUAGUUAGGGAGGGGGGAUACUUACGCCGGGCUGCGCCGUUCACCAAAAUACCAAAAUGUGCUUGGGAACGCCUCAUCGGCGCAGCGGACCUGACUUACGCCGCCCCUGCACCACGUCUCCGUCGAAGGACGAAAAUAGAGCCCUUAUUGUUAGGGAAGGAGGACACCCUGAGGGAAAUGUCAUGUUUGAGAAGUGUGUAGUGCAAACUAUAAUGCAUUUCAUCACACUUAUCUGAUGCAAAAUAAAGAAAUGCAGCAAAUGGUGAAACCAACAUGUUCUUGCUCAUAAUGCUGCAGUCACAGCAAGGCAAUUAGAAAACCUUGGCCCCUGUGUUUGAUGUGAAUUUAAAUCUCUAGGAUUUAGAUAAUUCCAUGGCUAAUAAUCCCCAAAUUGUGCUGUCUUAAAUUUAUGUCUACUCAUUUGUUACAUUUUUGUUUACCGGGGCAACAAUUACUGCGAGCACAGUUUGACAUCUUAUUGUGGCAUCUGAAAUAAAAAAAGCAAGCACACGCUUACACAGCUGCUCUUAUAAGACUCACAGUUUUUUUGUUGUUGUUGCCAACUGUAAUGACUCAUCAUUUAUCUGUAAACAAAACUUGUAUGACAUUUAAUGAUGUUACAAAGACAAGCUUCAAGCAAAACUAAAAAUGUAAUUUCAUAGUAGACUGCUUAUAAAGAGCUCAUACUCCAUGCAGGGUGUCUGGCUAAGUUCAUUAGGUGAUAGCAGGGGGUGCACUAUUUGAAAGCCUCCUAUCUGGGGAGAAAGCACUCAGAGCUUCUACUUAAAUAACAGUAAUAAUAGCCGAGAUAAAAAUACCCCACCCAGUGUCAGAGUAAUGCGUUCAAAAUUUUACUGAAGCAGAAGCACAAUCUAUUGUAUAUUAGACCGUAUUAAGAGUACCUGAAAUGUUUGUUGGCUUUUAUCCAUUAUUGUACAUGAAGUCGCUUAGCACUCACUCAAACUGUGACAAAUAGCCCCAUCCAGCUUACCAAAACACACAUUUAACUCACUGAUACAUCAGUGAUCUUUCAGGGAGGUGGGGUCAAUAGCAGAAAUUUGAGGCACGCAUGUUAGGCCUAAGAAGAUAUGAUGAUUCCCAUGUUUGGUAUGUUCCUCUCACAGACUGGAAUGGACGCCAUCUGCCUCCUUGCUGGGUGAAGCCAUCGUGAGAACAGCACCCUCUGGUGACGGGCUGCAGUAUAGUUCAUAAAUCCCACCUCCUUCAGCAAUCCCUAUGAAGCUGUAGACAAAUUUUGGAAAUUAAUUACACAGAAUGUAUUUUUUUCUCUCCCCUGCUUAUGAUGUUGACAUGUAGUUACUGUAAGACUGGUUUGUGCUCAAGUCCUCUUUUUUCUGUGCAGCUCCAUUUUUAAAAGUUGUUAGGGGGUUCACAUUUUCUAUGAUUGACAUUUGAUACAGCCUAUGGGUGUACGAAGAUUGCGUAGCUCACGCUGGGGAUAUACUGUUUGAGCCGGGCGCCGAAUGCGUACAAUGCUUCUGCACAAGAGGUGGUUCCAAGAAGUGGCAAAAAUCCCAGAAAUACCAAGAACAAUUCAGCUUCAAAUUCAUGUAAUGAUGGAAGGAAGAGCCAAGUAUAUCCAUAGUAUAUACACUCUAUAGUUCCUCCUCUGCUAAUCUGAAACAAAAGGUUGCAGGAGCUGUCUAUCAGUUAUAAUUUCAUAUCUAAAUAACCAAUUAGAACUAAACUCACCAGAAAGAAUUUCGACAACAACAGAGACUACAUUUUCAGAGAUAUUCAUCUAAAGUCUGUUUUAAACUUGUAGUUUGACCAAUGUCCCGUCUGUUGACAUGAAAAAGGUAAGGCUAUGACCCAUACUGCAGCCAGUCAGCAGGGGGAGUUCUAAAUCUUUUGGCUUUACAGUUAAUGAACACAUGUCUGAUUUAUUUUGAUGUGCUCACACAUGGUUCAUGUCUGUAUUACAAAGGCAGAACUGUGGGGCAAAGUCAGUCCACCUUUGACUCACUGUGGGAGCUGGGAACAGAGGCACAAUGGGGGGGAUGGUUAGCAUGUCACAAUGCGUAGUAUUGGAGUCAACAAUACAAAAUAAUAGGGUUGUGUGUGUAUGUGCAUGUCUGAGUGUGAGCGCAUGUGGCGCUCCUGCUGUGUGUUUGCACGCUGUGCCUCUCGCGCUUCCACAAUACUGUACUGGAAUGUGAAAUCACAGAGUGGUGCACCAAUAUUACACCACAACGGAGGUCAGUGUGAAGAACAUAGGCGUGACAAGUUUUGCUAAAUGAGAAUGACAACUUUUAAAAAAGUGUUUGUGUAGGGACAACAACAACAACUCCAAAAGUAAAAGCUACCACUCCACAUGAAGAACUUUCCAUCUGUAUGUUAGAGGAGGAACAGUGAGGAGAGUGACCCCCUUCAAGUUUUUGGACACACAAGCUGUAUCUUUCAGGGCUUCAUGUGGAUUUCAAACACUGUGUCUCUGCUGAAGAAGGCUCAGCGGCAUCUCUCCUUCCUGAGGGCAUUAAGAAAAACGAACCUGUCUCAGCAUCAGCAUCUGUCCUUCUACCACCACUCCAUCAAAAGCAUAAUCACCCACGGCAUCCUGGUGUGGUAUGCUCACUGCACCAUAGCUGAGAACAAAAAAACGCUGCCAAGAGUUAUCAACUCAGCACAGAGGACAACUGACACACAGCCCCAUUCUCCUGAAGACAUUUACAAAACCUGAUGUGCACACCAAGCCAAUAAGACUCAUCACACCCUAGGAAUCACCUGUUGCCUGCUGAAAGGCAAAACCCCUCUAUAAAGACCCACACUGCAGUUUCACUCUGGAUGUCUCCAAAAAGCUGAACUUGAUUCCAAAAGUUUUAAGGUCAUGUAAAUAUUUACUCCAAGGCUAUACACAAAAGAGGAGCAACAACUCGUGACUUCUCUUUGGACAGUGCAGUAUUGGCUGUAAAUCUUUUGUUAUUUAUUGCCUGUGUUUAUGUUUUAAUGUGCUGAAUGAUGCUGCUGUAUAUUGUAUAAUGUGUGCCAAUUAUUUGAUUUAAAGCAAUGCAUUCCUUUGCAUUUACCCUGAUCCAACGUACAGGCAGAAUAAUAGAGGCUGGCAGUCAGAGGAAAAUCUUACUGCACAGUGUUGACAGGCUGUGCUGUCAGUGUGAUGAGGGAGCUGUAGAGACAGAAUUACACCUUCUAACAGAAUGUCAGGACUACAAAAAAUAUUAGACAGGUGUUCUCUCCAAAGUAAAAGUCCAAAAAAAGUGGCAUCAACCCCUUUCUCUGUCUUUUCUGGCUACAGGAGAAUGGUCAGAGACAGAUAAAAGACUAUUAACUGUGAUUUGGCAUCACAUUUGUGAUUUUAGGAAAAUAACCACACUUACUGAAAGUGAAUUAUAAUGUGAUAGAACAAAAACAUGCACUGGUCUCAGGUUAACCUCUGUCUAGCUGCAGGUCCUGUAGGCGUAUCAGGCAAAUGUUUAAUUUGACUAAGAUGGAGACAAGCUGGAGGUUUAAACUGCAAGAUGUUUUAUUUUUGUUCACAUGAUUAAUCAUUGUCUAUUCACUAUCUGACACACAGACGUGUUCAUAGGAAAACGUACAUACGAGGACUGUGGAGUGUGAAAUAUUCAUGCACUGUCUGGGCCGAUAAACUGUCAAAAUCAGACUGAAGGUUCAGUCAAGUGUUACGAAAAUUCGUCAGCGAGGAAUAAGAGGUUAAAGUGGGGAUGUAACUGUAUUGAGCAUGUUUUUGCACGCUCUUAUCUGGAGUCUUAAAUGGGCAGAUUUCUGAAAUAAAGCAGUAAUAUCUGGUUUAAUGAAUUCAUGAGAUGGAGGAAGAAAAGUUUUGUGCAUGCGCUGCUUUCGCCCAGCUUGUGCUUCCUGCCAGAGAGCGAAAGCCCACUUUGGAAGCGGAUCUGGCUUCAUCAGGGUAUUCAUGACAAGUCUUACUGAUUUUCUGUCACCUUCAAAACUGUUCCAUCUUUCACUGACAGGCAAAGUCUUCACCUAAUGUCGUCAAACUGCUUCUAAUCAUAGUACCAUCUUAUUACUGUGCCAUUGUCAUGCUGUACAGAAGCUGCUUACUCUCACUAAGGUUUCAUGUCUAUUCUGUGAUUCAAAAAGACACAAUUAGGAUUGCUCAGUGACUCAGUGGAGUCAACCUUGUUGUUGCUAAUUAGUUUUUCCUUAUCUCGACAUUUGUGAAGAUUACAGAGCAAAAUUAAUGAGUUACAACCAUAGUUUAGUGGUCUGUGUGUUACCGAUUUGAAGUCCAUAAAAUCAGCCAGUUUAAUGUUUUACAGCUAAUGAAUGAUUAUCUGUUUCAAAUAAAACACCAGCUGUAGAAUCAGAAUUGUUAAUGCUUAGUGGUAAAUUGGACAAAUGUUUUAUUCAGAUUUAAGAACCAUCAAUGACCGCAAAAUGUAUCAACUACAUUCGUAAUUGUUCCCCUUCCACCACACUUGAUACCAGCAUUAAACACUGUAUAGAUGUUCUUUAUCAAAAACACUUGGUCUUGAUGUUAUUAAGGCUCGCAUCAGUAAAAUAAAGCUACAAUACUGCCUUGUGUCAUGUCUCAAGUUUCCUUUAUUUUUGCUCAUAAAUGUUUCAUGUCAUGUCCUUCCUGUUUUAUUUUGAAGUCACUAACCCUUGUCUCUAUCUCAGAUCUGUACCUGUCUGCCCUGCCUCUGUCUUGUCACACCUGCUGCCUCCUGAUUGUCUUUCCUUACCUGUUUCCCAUCACCCUUAUUACCUCUUGUAUUUAACCUCAUGUCUCUCACUGUCUUGUCACUGGUUUGUUGUAUCUCACAGGGCUCUAUUUUCGUGUACGCUGGUGAGGCGACGGAGGGUGGCAGUUGUAUUUUCGUCUGGCGGAGCCCGGCGUACAGCCAGUUUGGUAUUUUCGUGGACUGAGGUGUACGGAGGCGAGCCGAGAUCCGCCAAGCUGGGCAUGGUGGCGUGGUAGGGGGAGGUGUCGACAAAAUCAGCGGGCACAGUGGCAUUUUCGUGCUCGCCAGUGGCGUGUCAAGUGCGCUGAAAGCUCGCCGAUUCAUACCUGGUCAGCUUUCAGCGCAGGCGGAGCGCAGCAGGUCUAGUGGUAUUUUGGUAGACCGGCGGCUUAUCGGCAUACGUCACCGAUGCCUCAUCGGCAGGUUUCCACAGUGUCAGGCACAUUUCAGUGCAAUAAAUAAUCAUCAACAACUAAUAAUCUGAGUCAGCACAUAUAUUUAGAUCUAUAUAGAUAUAUUCUGAUCUAUAUCUGAUCUGAUGAGCGCGUUUGGCACGCGUUUGGACACAACCUGACCAAAUCAACACAGCUAAAACCGCAUCAAAUUAAAUUAAAUAUCUAGUAAAUAGAAACACAUGAUGAAGUUAACAAGAUAUGUGAUUCGUCUCCCUCCUUUUCUUUCUUCCUCUUCCUCUUAUUUCUCGCACAGCUCGACCUGGACACAUCUCCGUGUCCUCUCUCCGUCCUGCAGCGGCUGAACAGAUGAUUUGUUUCAGUGAUCAGAUGAGUUAAUUACUUUAAGCCUACAUACGGAUAUUAUGAUAUUCAGUUUUUUGGGCCAAAUUUAUUUUUUAUGCCAGCAUCUAUGAAAGAAAGAGCCAGGCCACGGAGCGCGAUGCGUCAUUUAUGCACAGAUGGUUCCGAUUCUAAUGCCAUUUUUGGAGUUUAUGUUGUGAUCUGUGCGCACAACCCACCUUUGUCACGUGAGGUUUGAAUAUAUGCAACUUUAUGUGAGCAUUACUGUCUUCAGACAUCUCUUGAUCUCUUUGACUACUUCAUGAAAAUAGUAAUACGCCUCGCCUGUGGCGGAUUUAAAGGCAAGGAGAGGAGCUUAUGUGAUUGGUGAAAACAGGUCUCGGCUGUGUUAAACCCACUCCACGCCCUUUCUCCUCCCUUGCUACGACUUAUGCCGCUGGGAGGAGCUCAGUUAGGGAGGGGGGAUACCUACACCGGGCUGCGCUGCUCACCAAAAUACCAAAUUGUGCUUGGGAACGCCUUGUCAACGCGGCAGACCUGACUUUCACCGCGCCUGCGGCCAUCUCCGGCGAGGCACGAAAAUAGAGCCCACAGUCUUCUUUUCAACACUCUUCACAGUCGCAGUCAUAGUCUUGUCGUGUUUGAACCUUGCUUACCUUUUUUGAUCUUGCCUCACGUUUUUGGAUCCUGCUGCCUGACCUGACUGCCUUCAUCUGUACCAACCUUUUUGCCUGUUUUUGGAGUAAACCUUUAACCUUUUGACCUACUAACCUGGUGACAUGCGUUCAAGUCUGCCCUUCCUGUGCCUUAGUUCAUGACACAACAAAGUGGCCAGAAUGGACGCAGCAGACACUAGCUACAUUUACAAAGGCAAAAAUAUUUGAUCCAAUUAAAAAUUUGAGGGAUCAGAAAACUUGAAUCCACUGUGUAUAUGGGUGCAAAAUCAAAUAAUCCGAUCAUGAUGUGCGUAUACAUUAAAGUUUUAUUCAGAUUAGAAGCAUUUGUAUUUAUGCCUGUGCUGUCGACAAACCAACAAACACGGCAGUGGCUCACUCCAUCAAAUUAAGGAUUUUUCCCCUGGUAAAUGUUGUCACUAGAUGGCGCCCUUGCUUACUUAUUUUACUGUUCUGUCAAAGGUUGCACUGUGUAUGCAGAUAUGACAUUACGCUGUAUAUACGCCUUGUUAUGUUAUUGGAGGAGUAGACACGGUACCUGCUAUUGUGUUUUCUGCCGGAGAGUUAAUAAUUAAACCUCCUGUACUGAUCUCAAUAAAUAAGCCAAAGGCUGAAGAGUGAAGAUUGAGUCAGGUUAGACAGUCACAAUCGGAAUAAGUGUUUACAUGGACGCUUUUCAGAAUAAUGAUCGGCAUAAACCACCCUUCUUGAUCGGAAUAAAAUAUCUUUCCAGUUGAGCCAAAUUGGAUCGUAUUCUUCCGACUGACAUGUUUACAUGACACAUUUUUAUCCCGAUCAGCCAUUUCUUCUGGUUGUUUGUGCCCAUGUAAAUGCAGCAACUGAUCUGACUUUGGUUCUAAUGCUCACUUAAUACAUCUAUCUCUCGUCAGGAAUUUCCACCUGAAGCUGUACUGCCCCUGGUUCCCCUCGAGGUUAAGGCUAUAGAUGCAGUCUUUAGGGCAGGGUCAUGCACCAGUCACAGUCAGUCAAAGUAACCUUUGCUGACCCUCAUACUGAGUCCCUUAGUUUUCAUGUUUUUAAUGCUGUGUCUCAUCAGGCUAUAGUAGGGCAGCCUUGGCUUAAGAAACACAACCCAAACUUUGACUGGGCUAACAGCCAAAUCAUUACACAGAGACAGAGACAUGGGUGCGGUAGUGGGGGGAAAAGUGGACAUGACUACCUAGGGCCUGAGUAGGGAAAGGGGCCCAUGAAAAUCCUGUUUUUUUGUUUUUGUGAUGUAUUUUUUUAAAAUGAAUUGGACCCUCCAAUGAAUUGGUGUCAUAACUUGUUUCAAGAAUAUUGAUAACAUCAACUGAGAGAAUGAACUUUAGGUCACAGUCCUCCCAACAUGGAGGACAUUCUGGGGGGCCUCCUCUUGGAAGCGCAAAAUGGUUUAGUCCGCCUGAUAGCGACUGGUGACAAGUGUAACAUCAGUGAGCCCAGAUUGAAUGACACAGGGUCAGGGCCCAAAAUUUGGUGCUAUGCCCCUGCACAGAGACAUGAUUAUUUAAAUAAACAGUCAGAAAUAAUAAUAAAAAAGAAAAGAACCCCCUGCUCUUCCCAGUCAUGGCCCAGCUAAUGUCCCUUCAAGUUAUUAUGAUCUGGCAGAGGUGUUUAACAAGGUUAAAGCUCAAUGUUUGCUGCCUCAUCGCCCUUAUGACUGCUUCAUUCACUUCCUGCCUGCUAUCCAGCAUGUCUGCUUAGUACUACAACAGUUACCAACUGUAGGCUAUUUCAAAGUAGAGAAAUGCUAGUUCCAGUCCUUCCUGGGGUAUGUGCUUGCUGAGGAGGAGGUCAGGAUGGACCCUGAGAAGGUCUUAGAGCAUGGAGAGGCCCACUCUGUCAUUGCUGUCAAGGAGGUUCAAAGGAUUUGAGAUUUUAAUGAUUUUUUAAAAUAAAAAAAUCACAAAUAUUAUCAGCUCAAAAGCUGAAAGCAUGAGACCUUGUCUAUACCUGCAAAUGUAAAUCCAAUCACCAGUUCCUUCUUGUCACCAUGCAAGUAAUGCAAAAGUCAGCUGAUCUGCCACACAGAUUCUGCAGGUCUACGCAACACUAUGAAACUGCUGUGUUGUUUGUUGUAUUCUAGCCAAGCCAGAAUUUCUACAUAAUUCAGGAAAAAACAGAGGGUUAUGUCAGUAAGGCCUUCUCACUAAGAAUUUCAUGUUUUAUUCAGUGUUAUUUUGUGCAACACAUUGUGUUUGUCUUUGUCUUGUUGAAAAGAUUUGAAUCUAACCAAAUCAAUAAAAAGAAAUGUUCUCAAGCUGCUCAUAUUUUAGAGUCAUUUAAUUUUUCUAACUAGUACAACAAAGAUAAUUGAGAACAUUUGAGGUAAUCAAGAUGAAUCACACAAUAAAAAAUUUUCUCAACAGCCAGAUCUCAGGCAUGUAUGUAAAACAACGGUUUAUCCACUUACCUUUCUAGUGGAGAGGAGGUACUUUUUACAUUCAUCACACCAGGGAAUCUAGCAGCUGUAUUUGAUUAGGGAGGAUGUUUAACUCAGAAAAAAAAAUUCAAGGCCAACCUUUUUUUCUUUCUCUCAACAGUAUCACGGUGCAAAAAUCAGGCACAUUUUAUCUCAGAAUUAUACAGAAAAACUUCAAGUCCACACCUCCAUUACCCAUAAACUGGAUUGUUAGAAUGCCCUAAAAACUCCAUAAUAAUCCCUCAGCUGGUCCAAAAUGCUGUUAUCUUCUGUAUUAGCUUCUCUGCACCAGCUCUGUAAAGUAGCUAUACAAUUGAAUUUAAAACCUUUCUUUUCACCUAAAGAGCUCUGAAUGGUCAGGGACCAUCAUAUACCAAUGAGCUCACCAUGGCCUAUUACCUUUUACAUCACUGUGCUCACAGAAGCAGGUCUGCUUGUCUCCAAGAGUGGUCUAGGCAGCAGAGACAUCAAUAAUCAGGCUCCUCUUCUCUGGGAAAUCUACCAGUUUGGGUGAGGCAGCCAAACAUCCUCUGCCUUUGACCUAGUGGGCUUAAAAUGUCCCUUUCUGAUAAAGCAUUUAGUCGGGUGUUGGUGCAUUAAUAUUGGGUCUCUGUCAAUGUAAUUACAAAGAAUCAGAGUGCACAGGCACUUUAGCUGUCCUCCAUAAAAUUUGCUUUCUAGUGGUCAGGAAAUCAAGAAUUACUAAGUACCACUUGCUAAACUUGCUUUCAUGGGUGCCAUGCAAUUACUUGUGUUGUAACUUUGUCCAGGUUUGGAUGACAAACUGGUCAAUUUGUUCUGUUCUCUGUCUGCAGGAUACUAUAAAAGCCCUUUUCACCUAUGUCACAGUUUCACAUUUUUCAAUGAAGCACAUCUUUAGUAGACACAAGAGCAAACUCCAAGCCAUGUCCUGAAGACUAUACCAUACAAUAUACCAUACAAGAACUUAAUUGAUCCCCAAAGGUAAAUUCAUUUGUCUGGAAUCUCAUCUCAUCUACUAUUUAUAGAAGAAUCAGUCUGAUGGCUGUGGGUACAAAAAUUCCUCUGAUUCUCUCCAUUAGUCUUUUUCGUCCAUCAAGGUGUUAUGAAGAGGAUGAACUUAAUUCCUAUCACAGAGCCAGCUUUUUCACCAGUUGUCACCAUGUUAGUCUGUAUGCUAGGGAUUGUUUUAUGGAGAACAUUACACAGAACUCCAGCCUUUGCCUUGGGUGGGAUGUGAAAAAAUAUUGAUAUGAUAUAACUGACCUCCUUUGGAACAUAAGAUAGCUGAAGAGCAACAGCCAACAGUUCAAUAUCUCGACAAAAUAACUUCUCCUUGACAGUUAUGUGUGAAGGGUUACACCAUCUCUGGUUGACAAAUAAAGCCAGACCUCCUCCUUUCUUCUUACCACUAGCUUGAGCAUCUCUGUUUGACCUUAUGAGAGUGAAGCAAGGUAGAUUUGACAUUUCCCAAGAUGGCUGAUAGAAGACAGGUUUAAAUCUCCAUUUGCAAGCCUUCAACUUUGUCUUCAACCACAAAAACACUUCCAGGGGCCCUAUUUUCGUGCCCGCCAGCGGCGCGGCAGAGGAUGGCGGACCCCAUGCGGUAGUAUUUUCGUCUGGCGGAGCCCGGUGUACAGCCCGUUUGGUAUUUUCAUAGACUGACGCGCACCGAGGUCUGCCAAGCUGGGUGUGGUGGCGACAGAAUCAGCUGGUGCAGUGACAGUUUCGUGCUCGCCGGCGGCAUAGAAAAUGCGCUGAAAGCUCACCGAUUCAAACCUGGUCAGCCUUCAGCGCAGGCGGCGCUGGUCUAGUGGUAUUUUGGUGGACCUGUGGCGUAUCAGCAUACGUCACCUAUGCCUCACCGGCAGGUGAGAUAUUUAAUUUGUCUCCCCCCAUUCCUAUCUUCCUCUUCCUCUUAUUUCUCAUGCAGCUUGACCUGGACAUGUCUCUGUGUCCUCCCCCCGUCCUGCUGCAGCUGCUGCUGCCGCAGCUGAACAUAUGAUUUGUUUCAGUGAUCAGAUGAGUUAUUUACUUUAAGCCGACAUACGAAUAUUAUAAUAUUCGGUUUUGUGAGCCAAAUUUAUUUUAUAUGCCAACAUCUAUGAAAGAAAGAGCCAGGCCAUGGAGAGCGAUGCGUCAUGGUUCCGAUUUUAGUGCCAUUAUUGGAAUUAAUGAUGUGAUCUGUGCGCACAACCCACCUUUGUUACAUGAGGUUUGAAUAUGUGCAACUUUAUGUGAGUGUCUUUAUUUGUGGAAAAGAUUGUUUGUCUUACCAGUAGGUCUAACAUUACACACUCCAAAUCCAUCUGUGCUGAUAUGAGAGUGUGGAGGACGCCCUCUGCAGCGCUUACAGUGACACUUGUUGAAGGGCUGCCUUCUGUCGCCAUCGUGUGGCAUUGCUGUCUUCAGACAUCUCUUGAUCUCUUUGACAACUCACAUGGACUACUACCACGAAAAUUGUAAUAUGCCUUGCCAGUGGCAGAUUUAAAGGUGAGGAGAGUAGCUGAUCUGAUUGGCGAAAACAGGUCUCGGCUGUGUUAAACCCACUCCGUGCCCUUUCUACGACUUACGCCGGAGGAGCUGAGUAAGGGAGGGGGGAUACUUACGCCGGGCUGCGCCACUCACCAAAAUACCAAAAUGUGCUUGGGAAUGCCUUGUCGAUGCGGUGGACGUAACUUACGCCACGCCUUCGCUACGCCACUGGUGAGGAAAGAAAAUAGAGCCCCAGAUGUCCUCUGGAAUUGGAUGUUGUUGUCCAGAUUUGCUCUGCCUCAAUGAAAGAAGCUCUUCUCUUGAAUAAACUCUUCUCCCAGCAGAAAUAUACAUAAGAAGUUGUCAAAAUAUGAUAAAAAUAUGAAGUAAAAAUUGCAGAAAAUUCAGAGACCAGACCUUGCUGCCUCUUGAUGGGGCACAGGUUUUAGAAUGAGAGGUAUGGUGGAUAUUUGAACUUAGAUAUACCAUCUAGCCACUGUCAUGUGCUGUAAGAAAAACUUCAAGAACCAAACAUGAGUACUCCACAGUUAUUUUCUGUUACUUUCAUCAGCCUGUUGGCGUCUCUUUCAUUCCUCCAGCUUUUAUCUGUUUGAUGUCAAGUUGUAGUUGGGUGUACACAUAGUAUCAGAUCAGUAAAACGCGCUUAAGUUGUGAUGACACCCCUACUGAGAUGCCAGCCUCUCAUAUGUCACAGCACAGCUCUGGUGGUUAUUGGGGCCCAUUUGAAUCAUCAGAGCAUGUGUGCGAGUGUGUGCCUCAUGUCAGAUCUGAUCUGCAUGUGGAUUUUUUUAAAGAGAAGCCUGAGGGAUAUUUAUUCUCUAAGCUUGCAGAUGUUUCACUCACUGUACUUUUUUUUUUCACACUCACACAGGCACGCAUGCACACGCACGUACACACAAACACACACACAUUUACACUUCUACAGCAGGGCUUCAAUGGCUUGAACUGCAAUAGAAGAACUAUACUUGAGGCCUGAGGUUGACAGAUUACCCAUAAGAGCACUAAAAUAAUCAUUUUUCUGUUUCGCUGAACCACAGUCCACUAUUUCAAAAACAAAUCAGCUCUUUCACCACCUACACAAUUGCAUAUCAAGAGCAUCAAAAAUAAUUUGAACAAAUGUUCUGUCCAGAGUGUGGGAACAGUAGUAAAGGUAGACAACACUAAGCACUUUGGGUCAUACUUGUAUAGCAAGAGUAGUGUGUUUUCCACCAUCAGCAGCAAUGAGUCAUUUGAAGAGACAGAUGGAAGGCUUAUUUAAUGCCAUCACGAUAUGAUCAUUGACUAAUUAUAUACAGCACGCUGCUUUGCAGGAAAAAAAGGGCUUUGUUUUAGCUGAGCUGCAAAGAUGUUGAUCCUUUCCUGAGGGCUGAACAACCUGCGCUCAAAUCAUUGUGUUCCCCUGGCAAUCAUUUACAUACAUUUAAAAGCAGAUUUCAAUUAACAAUAACUCUCAGGCUUUGGUAUCUGCCACCCCGAGAGGUCUGCUCUUUACGGAUCACAUUGGGACUUUAUUCUAUUAUUCCUGAAUGAACUCCCUCUGUAAAUAGGUCCCCAAUGAUUUCACAACAUAUUUUUCUGUUUCAGUUGUAAUUAAAUGAUUUUUUGGAAAUAACACUUUAACAUUUCCCUAGAUGCUUUAUCUGAUUUUGAUAGAUGAAGCUAUUAAUUUGCCACGCGCCCUAUCUUUAACAAACAAAUCUUUGCAAAGAAAAAAAUACUGGUCACUAUCUCCUAAUCCAGUUUCAAAAGGUCAUGUUGAACUCAAACAUUUGCACUGUGCUUCAGGGACUAGAGCGCUGAUAUGAAAUACAACCUAUUUGAAUAUCUCUGCAUGAGCAGCCUCAGUUCUCAGGAACAUCUUACACAACACCACCACGACCACAAACCACAGCUUUGGAAAAUAACCGAAAGCUGAAUCAUCUCACUGUUGCCCAGUCUUGACAAAAAAGCAAAACUGAAACUGUGAAAGCUUCAAAGUCCAAACCCCAAUUCCAGUAAAGCUGGGACAUUGUGUAAAACAUGAAUAAAAACAGAAAACAAUGAUUUACUAAUCCUUUCCCACUGCUAUUCAGUCAAAAACGCUACAAAGACAAGAUAUUUCAUGUUCAAACUGAUGAACUUGUCUGGUUGUUGUAAAUAUUCACUCAUUUUGAAUUUGAUGCUCUAAAAUAUUCCCAAAAAGUUGAUACAGGGUCAACAAAAGUCUUGGAAAAUUCAGGACUACUCUCAAAACCCCUGUGUGGAUCAUUCCACAGGUGAACAGGUUCAAUGGAAGCAGGUGAGGGUCAUGAUUGGAUAUAAAAGGAGCAUCAAAUAGUUCAACAGUUAAAGAACGUUUUGUAGAACUGCAGGAAUUUAGAGAUUUGAUCAUCUACAGUCCAUAAAAUCAUCAAUAGAUUCAGAGAAAUCUCUGCAUGUAAGCAGCACGGCCCAGAACCAACACUUCGACCAUGGUCAUGUGGUCAUGUGACCGUGACCACAGUCACAUGACCGUGACCUUUGACCCCUCAGGCGGCACUGCAUCAAAAACCCUCAUCAUUCUGUAAAGGAUUUUACCACGUGGGCUCAGGAAGACUUAAAAAACCAUUGUCAGUUAACACAGCAGGUCUUUACAUCUACAAGAUCAACUUUACCAUGCAAACCACAAAGACAGAUAUCAACAACAGCCAGAAACAACGCUGGCUUCUCUGGACCCGAGCUCAUCUGAGAUUGACUGAUGCAAAGUGGGAAAGUCUUAUGUGGUCUAAUGAGUCCACAUUUCAGAUAGUUUUUGGAAAUCAUGGACGUGGUGUUCUCUGGACUAAAGAGGGAAAGGACCAUCCAGACUGUUCUCAGGUCAAAAUUUAAAAACCAGCAUCUUACACAGUCAGUGUCCACAGUUCACAAAGGCUAAUUAAAUGUUAUUAAAGGAAAGGUGAUGAAAGACAGAGAGAAACAUGACCCUGAACCAGCUUUCUAUGAACGUUCUGCAGACAUCAAACUCGGUAUGAGUGAAUAUUUACAGAAAAACAAUCAAGUUUGUCAGUUUGAACAUUCAAUAUCUUUGUAGUGUAUUUAUUUUCAUAUAGGUGAAAAAGGAUUUAGAAAUCAUUGCAUUCUGUAUUUAUUCAAAUUUUAAGCAACGUCCCAACUUCACGGGAAUUAGGGUUUGUAUUUUACUGGGUAGAGAUUCACACAUUUUAUGUAACAUAUUAAGCAGACUGUUAAGUUAUUAAUAGACCUAAACAAGUGACUGAUUAUUCAUGCAUCAUUAAUUAUCUGCCUUAACUUUUUUGUUACCUUCUAAGAUUAUAUUUGAUAAGAUACAACUUUAUUUAUCUUUUUGGGAAGGUUUCCUUAAGGAAAUUAAAAAACUAAUAAAUUGCAUAUUAUCCGAACCUUUGACUUCCAUUAAAUUCAAUUUCCUGUAAUUUCCUCUGUUUUUGCGAUUUGACUGCCGGCUCAUAGACCAACAAUUUGAGAUCUGAAUGAUCUGGAUCACUGAAAAGAGGCUGAAUUCCCUUCACCAGGUGUAUCUACAUGAAGGCUGUGUCAAACAGGAAGGACCCUACUUUCUAUUAUAAAAGAUAACAGACAAUUCAAGCAACAGCACACAGCCUUUGAAGAUUUAAAGUAACCUGAGGAUCUUUAUCAAUAGAAUGUGUUUGGAUCAAAUCAUUUCUAUUUACUGAACAGGUGACAUGAGACAGCCUAAAACAAAAGUGACUUUCAAGUUGAAAUUCUCUGACUCAGGUAAAUACAUGGAUUUUGAGAAUAUUUUCUAACAUCAUUAAAUAUGUUGUCAUAAUGUUUCCCUUAUUGACAGAAUUACUUAGUGUUUGGUCUGAACAUGAACUCAAAGCAGCAUCAAAUGUCUGAUGCAGCUUUAUUUGCAAUGGUGUACAUGAAGUUGUUUGGGUGAAGUCUGACACUGAGUUCAUCAAUAGGUGUGACUAAAUGACUCAGUGGUGCCUCCUGUAGAGUUUUCAUAUUCCAGCCCCUGUAGUUUGUUUAACCCAGAAAUAUAAACCAUGUGCAUCAUAAUUGCCAUGCCGAGAUCUCUUCACUGGAGCAUAGGAUCACUGAAGUCUGUUAUUUUAACCCGUGGGUGAAAAACUGGCAAAAAGAGGUAGGCCUGUUUAUAAGGGACCCCAUAGAUGAACUUCUCUGAGGGGUGAAUUUCAUCCACUUCAAAUUUGAUAUUUGUGGUGGGAAAACAACUCACAAAGAUGAGAAGUUUUCAAAAAUAUUUAGUGAGCUCAAAGGACGCAACUGUUAUGAUUUGGCUGAAUUGGGGUGUAAAAAAAUGUAGAGUUUUAGUCCUUUUUGAGGGUCACACUUGGAUUAACUCAUAGGCCAUUUAUCUGACUCACUUCAAAUUUGGCCAGGAGCUUGAGAAGACCAGAACAGAGACCACUUCUUCUGCUUGAGUUCAAAACCAAAGGAACAUGGCUCUGGUGACUUGUCAGAUUGACUUGUCAUGAAACAGUAACUUGCUGUAAAUCAAACAAACAGAGUCCCAACUGCCUCAAACUUUUUUAUAUUAGAUAAAAAGCUCUUUUUGAAAAUGUCAGAAUACACUUUUGAAGAAUCCAUCCACUCUCAGCUAUUUUUGAUAAGUCUUGGUCAAAUUGUUUCUUUAUGCUUUUCCAAAAGAUCUUCUGCUUUUCCAGAAGAUAUUGAGCUAUUUUUGACUACUCUUUGCUGAUAUAUUCAAAACAGUGACAUCCAACCCGGGGGCUGUGCCACAUCCUGCACACACCACACUACAGGGCAGCCAUGGCUAGGUUGUGGAGUUGGUUGUUUCUCAGUUGGUAGGGAUAGUAGUUUGUAGCACUGGUUUAUAGCAGAACCAAACCAUUGUCUUAACUUAGCUAACCAGCUCCCAUCAAAGAUGACUUACUGAGUGCCAUAGUGUUUAUUGCAUAAGAACCUUACGAGAUGGUGGUUACAUAAUGACUCACAUCUUCAAUCAGCAUAUACAUUACUUGAAAGAAUAAACCUGUUAAAACCCUGUUACAUAACUUAACACCUUAAGUGCCCAUAAAUAGUGGAAAUGCUAGAAGCACAGCCAGCCUCUUCUCCAAAGCUGUUGAGCGCAUUGUGUUCAGUGACAAAGCCAAGCUUCGUUUUGCAUUUAUCACACGUCUGUUCAGUCUUUAUCUGCAUAUCUUCAAGAUGGGCUUGUAUACUGUUUGUACGUUUCCACAAGUGCAGCCUAAACACCUCAAAUAAAUCAACCUCCAAAUAACACUUUUCAGUUCCUUCCUGCUAACUACUACUAACUGUGUGGGAGGUUUUAAUGAAACCUGUGUCAUUCUGCCUUAUGGAGCUGCAAAGCCCAUGUAAGUGUUUGCCUCCAUUAGUUUGGCUUUCACUGGGGUGUUUAAGUGUCCUUUGAUGGCCCUGAAGCUUUUUUGGUGUUUUUUGUUGCAAUGCCUGUGCUCUCUUAGAUUUUACGGGAGCUGUUAGAAUAUAAAUAGCCAGGUGAAAUAUGUUGUAUGUCACCAUAAAAAAACCUGGCAGCAUCACUCUGAAAAUUGACAUGAGUAAGGCAUCUAAAAGCAUUUUUCUGUAAGACCCUCAAAAGGUCUGUGCUGGUCAACGUAUUAGAGCAGAUUGCAGCGGCUUUGACUUUCACUCAUUGGUCCAACCAAACUACACCACGGCAGCAACAUUUGAAGGUGGGUUAACCAGUGAGAUAAUAGAGGUUGCUGCCACACUCAUGCAAACGCAUACACACAAAAGCCCACUUGUACACAACCACAGUUGUCACGUCUAGUAGAGUCGAGAGGAUAUGAAUCACUCUUUCAAUCGCAGUGACUCUCACAACUCAGCAGUCCUAAAAUUCAGAGGCAGACACGGAUAAUACCAGUCCAGUCUGAUGAGCCUCAAUGACAAUAAAAGCUGCCGUUUACACACUCACAGUCAUUGAACAGAGUAAGGGGGCACCUUCAACCAUUGAUAUUUAUGAUGGGCACAGUAACACACCAAACUGAUUGGAGAAGACAGGAAGUCGCUCAGGCAAACCCUCCUUUUGCUUUCUGCAGAAAAGAGGGCUUUUUUCAAACCUGUUAAAACUGUAUUGUGCCACUUGGCAUUUUCUGUUUCUAAAUCUGGUCAUUGGCCUGAGGGUUUUCUGUAUUCCUAACACCUCUUUGUCCUUCAGGUCUUUGCAAAACUUCAAUUGGCUCCCGGACAUGGUCUCCCUUUCAAGCAAACAGGUCUAAUUGCUUAUUGGAGCCUUUCAUUGGAAUUAAGAGAGGUAAGUCUUCAUAUUUACGCCGACUGAAUACACAGUGCCAUCAUAUUGCAGACAAAGAGACUGCCUAACUUUUAAUCACAUUAUGUUUCAAACUAACCUUACCUUAAUUUUCAUUUCCACCUGAAAUGUCACCUAUGAAAGGUCACAUUUAAAUUUACACACUAGUGGGUUUAAAAUUUGUCUGCGCACCACUCUCCAAUGAUGAGACACAUAGAUGUGUAACCUUCAAUUAAAAAUGGACCCCAGACCUGCAAAAGUGCUGUGUGUGUGUGGAGCAGAAAUUCAAGAGAUGGAUAGUAUUUUCUUUCUGACUCAAAAUAAUGAGCAGGCUGCUUUUCAAUUUUGAAAAAGUGAGGAAAUUUCAUUUUGCUGAAGUGUUUUUCCAAUCUGUGUCAUUUUGCCAAAGCCGCCAAUAGAUUUCACUGGCUGGUGUUUGCUGUGGGAGCAGCUGUAUGACUGCACAAACAGACUGAUUUCCAAAAUCUCUUAAAUUUUUGUUCGUUCCUCCUGGAAUUCUCUGUCUGCCCAACAUCUGUUCAUUCACACAGUCAAACAACUCUGGGACAACUCAAUUUCACUGAGGUUAAAACAUUCCUCAAGUUAUCUGAGGUGUCAUGCUCACACACUGUGCUCUGCUGUGCUCUUAGAAAUGUGUUCAACAGCAAUCUGGUAUCUGUGUGUGAAAUAGGAAGAGUUACAACCAGCGGACAACUGGAUUAGCCUGGCACAGAGAAAGAAAAAGGAAGUAGCCCUGAUCCCGAGUAAGAUAUUUGCUUUUUAUGACCUUAUGCUUUCAGAAUUCACCAUGUCAAACCAGGGGAAAUGACGUGUUUAGUGUAUUUUGGUCAUGUUUGGGACCAGGGCUGCAUUAUAUUGGAAAAAACUAAUAUUGCAGUUUUUUUCAACCUUGCGAUAUACAGUAUAUUGCAAUUUUGAAAAAUACAUGAAUUUUCACCAGAUGACCUGAAUAGCACUUUAUGCUAUGCAGCACUGCUGAAAUCUUGAGGGCAAUUAAACUGCACUGAUCUUACCUCUUUUGGUGAAUGUUAGUAGAAUGGCUUCUGUGUGUCUUAGAGAUCUUCUUAGCUUACUUUCAUUAUGCAGGGACUAGUUAUCUCACGUUGUGGCAACGCAUAAAAGGCCGACAUCAUCCUCCUUAUAACAAAAUAAUUCCAGAUAACUGAGGUUGCUUUUCUUUUUGGCAACAAGUCUUCAUUUUUGGUGUUUUUUUUCCCUUGUUCAUUGCUCAUUUUGCAAUAGUUGGUGUUGUUACCGAUGUUGUGCCGAGAAACGCAUGUCCGCCAAGAAUUGCAUACACCUCGCAGAAACGCUUUUAGUAGAGUGAUCCACGGAAAUGUACAAUUUAAAACCCAUACAAUUCAUAUUUGUGUGGCUAAACAGUGAUGAAUAAUGUUCCAAAAAGUCAUUCACGGCAGCCAUAGGUUUCUCGGCACAACACCGGCAGCACCAGCGACUCACUCCAUGUGCAGGCCAUGUGCAGGGGCGUAGUUUCCUCCUACCUGUUUUCAAAUGACGGCUAGUCUGCUUGGCAACUGAGUAAAGAAGGAAUGUGAUUGGUGGAUCGCUUCACAGGACAUGCAGAGUCUACAUGCAGUGUAUCUUAGUCAGCUAACCUUGAAAUUAGAUGAGUUCAUUCGCCUCCUACAUCGCAGGCUCUGCAAUAUGACUACCACGCAAAUGUACAUUGCGAUGAUGAUGCUCAAACGAUAUAUCAUGCAGCCCUUAUUGGCACCGUCUUUCAGAAAGGUGUAUUCUACAGGAGUUAUGCCCUUGCCUUUAGGUUGCCAGGUUACUCAAUCUAAUUUUUCCUGAGAGCCAAAAUGAUUUUUUCCUCAAGUUGUUCCUUUAAAGCCGAGGACAAUAUGCUUUAAGAAAGCCAGACUAGGUUUUUAUUGUCAUAUCUGCGUGUUUUGUCCCUCACCAUACUGCUCUGUUUACAGACGGCAUCAGAUGGCACUGUCUCAGCCUGGCUUCAAAUCUCUAAAGAGGACUCCGCUCAUCUUGUCCCAUUGCCCAUCCUCUGUGUGCAUGGAUCUGUAAACAGAGGAUGGAUAAUGGCAAAAUUGCACCAAAAUCUUUCUCUCUGUCCAAUUACAUUUAAAUCAUGUGCUAUCAAAUAAUGGGGGCUGAGAUAAUGUCUGGUGAGAAGCAGACCCAGGGGCUGGCAGGUAAUUUGUUUGCUUUGUUCAGCUGAAGCAUCCUCCUUUUCUGAUGCUGAGAACAUUCUUCACUGGGAUACUUCUUUUCACUUGAAUUAAAAGCCGCCCUACAAAGGAUGUGGAUCAUUUUCAUCUCAACAACAUACCUAAAUGAUUUCAGGGUGGAUUUCAUGGUUAAUUAAAAUUUUAAGAAUCAGAGAAGCCUUCUGAUCAAAAAAAUACCUCACCAUAUUUUUCAAUUGGGAUGAUGUUUCCUUUGAUUUUCCAUUUUUUUGAUCUGACAUCAAAGCUUCAGUCGAGUGACAAGAUUUUUCUUUCACCCAGUCUGUUACUUGAGUCUUUUAUAUUUAAAGAAAUUCAAUUUAAAAGACUUACCCUAACCAAAGCCCUGGAGGAACCCUUCUUUGUGGAGAGCAACCCAUUCAGCUAGUCUGUGGUGCUCUCCAGUAAGUGGACAUUCAGUCGUAUUCGUCCAAUCCCCUGAUCAGCCAAAUCAGGAGUGGCAGCUGCACUCAGCUUUCAUCACAUGCAUAAUUAUUGAGGGAUGGCUGCUGGGUUUGGGAAAUAAUUGGUUUUAGAAUAACACUGGUAUAACCUAUGGCCCAGGGACAGAAUGAGUUGAGAUGUGAAUGCAAAUGUCUGAAUACCUUGUUGCAGAAAGCGGGGAAGGUGUCACUGCCACAGCGCAUUCAUCAAUUAUUGGUAUUAUCAUUAAGUCUCUCAAUAUGUUCCCUAACAAUGUCGUACAAAAAAAUCAAUGUAAUAAUAGCAGGGAAGCAUGUAGUCAUUCCCUAAUUCACUGAGAGGUUUUCAUGUGUUGCAUUAUGAGUAAAUCAAUGACCAAUGUCAAUAUAUUGACGUGUGUCACCCCAAACUGAUUACUGAUCUACAGGGAAUUCAUGGGAUCUACUUUCAGGUAGACAUCAGAGUUUGCAUUAAUCAGCAGUGAAGGUAUACAGAUUUAAUUCUAUGCAGAUCUGAUUUACAAUUACAGUGAUGAGUUUCAAUAGGGGGAAUUCUGUCUCAUGAGUAACCAGAUUCAUCUCACUCUGCCUAAAAACAUGUCUGUGAUUCAUAACAGGAUUUGCAUUGUGCAGCUGCAGAGUGGGUGGUCAAGCCUCCUUUCAUUGUUUAUUACAAAAGAACUAUGGUUCAGGAUUGUCAUAGUUUUGUAACUAUCAUGUCUCAGCAGAAGUGCUGGUUUUUGAGGGUUCAGUAGGCAUGUAGGUGUAGCUGUGUGUUUAUGGGGGUGCAUAAGAGUGAAGCAGUUGGACCCACACACAGGUUAAAAUAACUCCACUGGUUAUAUUUGCUACAUUGAGCUCCAGAAAACCACAUUUUCAUCCACUUUGCUCCCUCAGCGUCUUUACAUUGUGUUCUGUUUGGUUAAUUAGUGUUGAGCUCAUUCUAUUCUCUCAGAAUUAAUUAAAAUGUGUUUCAAACAUCGAAUAUUACAGACAUACACACAGAGAGGGGUCAAGGCAAAUGAAGAGUGUGUUUCAUGCUUUUAUACACUCAGUAUUUACUUACACAAGUGGGCAAUAUUUGACACAAAACUCAGAGAAAUGUUAAAGUAAUGAAAACGUGCUGCUCUGAUCUGUGAAAUCCUCAGAUACAAUAUGCUUUUCUUCUCAGAUAACAUUUGAAGCCAUGGACAGAAGGAUCUCAUGGUCAUAGUUGUGGAAGGCUGAACCGCUCCGCAUAAAAUUCCUCAUCCAGUCUGUCUAUGAUGUCCUGCCCAGCCCGUCAAACCUCUUCCUUUGGGGCAAGGCUGAAGCCCCAUCAUGUACCUUGUGCCAGGGAAGGGGAACACUAGAGCACAUCCUCAGCAGCUGUCCGAAGGCACUUGGAGAUGGCCGCUAUCGCUGGCGCCACGACCAGGUGCUGAAGGGAGUUGCUGAGUCCAUCCACUCUGGCAUUGACUACAGCAAGCACCUGCAACCACUGUGGCACAGAACAGCAUUUGUGAGGGCAGAGGAAAAACCUCCUCCCCAACCAAAGACCCAAACAGGACUCCUGGGAACAGCAAAGGACUGGCAGCUGAGGGUGGACUUAGGAAAACAGCUUCAGUUCCCUGAGAACAUCAUGGAAACCAGUCUGAGACCAGACAUUUUCCUACAAUCAGAGUCUUCCAAGCAGGUCAUCAUGUUGGAGCUGACGGUGCCCUGGGAGGAGAGGAUGGAGGAAGCCAGUGGGAGGAAGGGGGAGAAGUACGCCGAGCUGGUGGAGGACUGCCGCAACAGGGGGUGGCGUGCAAGAUGCCUGCCCAUUGAGGUCGGGGGAAGGGGCUUUGCAGGGAAGUCACUCUGCAGGGCCUACAGUCUCCUAGGCAUCACAGGGGCUGUGGAUUCAGAGGGACAAGGCGUGGAUGAACGCUUCUUGGACACAGGCCGGGAACUGAUCACUCCCGGUCAGGUCGCCUGGGUGAGGGGGUCUGAAGUUGAAAGACCCGAAACCCCCCCAUGACCCCAGGUACUAUCACUGAUGAUGUGUCCAAGAUUCUGCAUCGCAAGAUGUAUCGAACAACUGAUCAAUUAUGCAGUAUGAGUUUAGGGUCAAAAGCACAGUGUAUAUAAUCAUUAUUAUCUACUUUUGCUUUCUUGUCAAUUUAUUCUGAUCGAGAUAAAAACUGUGUCACCUUAACUAGGUUUAAGGCAGACAAGAAUCCACAAUAGAAGAGAAUCCACAAAUCAGGUUUACAUAGCACCUUUUUUGAUAGAUUGGAGGAGAUUGUUUGAGCCCCACCAUCUUCAUUUUAAGGAUCAAAGUCAUUUGCUAGAGAUCGGUGAACAUAAUGUCUGCAUUGUAAAAGAACUCCAAUGUAAAGAUGGGAUUAAAAAUAACCAUAUCUGGAUCUUAAUUGCUAAAGAGUUGCACAUCUUUUGAAUCUGCUCACAUACUUAAGUACUUUUAGUGUUCAAUGCACCAGAAAGCGCAGAGAUAGCACCUCUCUGUCCCUGUUGUUCUAUUUUAAUGAGUCAUUGUGGAUUUUACAUUUAUUUAGAGCAAAUUAUGCAUUUUUCUAUGCAAACAUGCCUCAUUGCCAAAAAUACCUCAUUGACUAACACUGGCGUUAGGUGCACCACACAGUUAUAGUGAAAUCUUUAUUUUCAGCAAGCUCAGUCAGAGAUGGCGACAACAAUUCUAAGAAUAUUGCUGCACAUAAAGUCUGUUAACAGUACUUUUUAUAUUUUUAUAAUAAUCCGGGGUUCAGUCAGUCUGGCCAGUUCGCUGGCUCACUUUACAAUUCUUUUCACUUGCAUGCUUGAUGAAGUAAGCCGGGUGUAAACUCUGAAAUCUGUCUACCAAUCAUUAAUGAACCCCUUUGGUAAAACUGACAACUUUCUUCAUUCAACUCAUCAAAGACAUAGAAAAAAUUAGGAUGAGAGCACCCAAAGCAGCUCUGCAUAGCAUGAGCACUGAGAUGCUUACAGCUCCUCUCGGUCACAAUAAAACGCGAAACUGGAGCAGACUGCACAGAGCUGGAGGACUUUGUGCUUGACUAUCAUUGGCGCUAUUUGCUUUUAGACCCUGAAUUAGACACCAUUAUUCAACAGCACAUAAGUAAACAUGUGUCUGUAGUGAUCAUUUGAGUUUUUGCCUGUCUGUUACACCAAAGAUAGAGCUUUUAGCUGUCUUUAUGUCUUUUUCUAUUUUAUAUAAUGAGGCUCCCUUAUUUGUAUGUAUGGGUCAUUGUUACUGUUACUUUAAAACCCCAGUGUGUCUCAGUAGUAUAUGUGUAUAGGUAUGUUAUUCCUUUUCACAUUGUACAUUGGAAGUAAUUUGUGUGUCAGUGUUUGUACUUAAGUAUAAAACAGUAUCUGAGUCCUAAUUUAGGGGUAGACUUUUUUUGUACGACCCAGGCUAUGUAGCCCAGCUGGAUCACUGAACUGAAAUGGAC